rnacentral:rRNA from 1 species
CCUACGGGAGGCAGCAGUAGGGAAUCUUCCACAAUGGACGAAAGCCUGAUGGAGCAACGCCGCGUGAGUGAUGAAGGGCUUCGGAUCGUAAAGCUCUGUUGGCAGUGAAGAAAGAUAGAGGUAGUAAUUGGCCUUUAUUUGACGGUAACUACUUAGAAAGUAACGGCUAACUACGUGCCAGCAGCCGCGGUAAUACGUAGGUGGCAAGCGUUGUCCGGAAUUAUUGGGCGUAAAGCGAGUGCAGGCGGUUUAAUAAGUCUGAUGUGAAAGCCUUCGGCUCAACCGGAGAAUUGCAUUAGAAACUGUUGAACUUGAGUGCAGGAGAGGAGAGUGGAACUCCAGGUGUAGCGGUGGAAUGCGUAGAUAUAUGGAAGAACACCAGUGGCGAAGGCGACUCUCUGGUCUGCAACUGACGCUGAGGCUCGAAAGCGUGGGUAGCAAACAGGAUUAGAUACCCCAGUAGUC